rnacentral:rRNA from 1 species
UACGGAGGGAGCUAGCGUUGUUCGGAAUUACUGGGCGUAAAGCGCACGUAGGCGGCUUUGUAAGUUAGAGGUGAAAGCCUGGGGGCUCAACUCCAGAAUUGCCUUUAAGACUGCAUCGCUUUGAAUCAUGGAGAGGCGAGUGGAAUUCCGAGUGUAGAGGUGAAAUUCGUAGAUAUUCGGAAAGAACACCCUGGCGAAAGCGGCUCUCCUGGGGAC